rnacentral:rRNA from 1 species
AGGGUUUGAUCCUGGCUCAGAACGAACGCUGGCGGCAGGCCUAACACAUGCAAGUCGAGCGCACCCUUCGGGGCGAGCGGCGGACGGGUUAGUAACGCGUGGGAACAUACCCUUCUCUACGGAAUAGCCUCGGGAAACUGAGAGUAAUACCGUAUACGCCCUUCGGGGGAAAGAUUUAUCGGAGAAGGAUUGGCCCGCGUUAGAUUAGAUAGUUGGUGGGGUAAUGGCCUACCAAGUCUACGAUCUAUAGCUGGUUUUAGAGGAUGAUCAGCAACACUGGGACUGAGACACGGCCCAGACUCCUACGGGAGGCAGCAGUGGGGAAUCUUAGACAAUGGGCGCAAGCCUGAUCUAGCCAUGCCGCGUGUGUGAUGAAGGUCUUAGGAUCGUAAAGCACUUUCGCCAGAGAUGAUAAUGACAGUAUCUGGUAAAGAAACCCCGGCUAACUCCGUGCCAGCAGCCGCGGUAAUACGGAGGGGGUUAGCGUUGUUCGGAAUUACUGGGCGUAAAGCGUACGUAGGCGGAUCAGAAAGUAGGGGGUGAAAUCCCAGGGCUCAACCCUGGAACUGCCUCCUAAACUCCUGGUCUUGAGUUCGAGAGAGGUGAGUGGAAUUCCAAGCGUAGAGGUGAAAUUCGUAGAUAUUUGGAGGAACACCAGUGGCGAAGGCGGCUCACUGGCUCGAUACUGACGCUGAGGUACGAAAGUGUGGGGAGCAAACAGGAUUAGAUACCC